rnacentral:rRNA from 1 species
UACGGAGGGGGCUAGCGUUGUUCGGAAUUACUGGGCGUAAAGCGCACGUAGGCGGCUUUGUAAGUUAGAGGUGAAAGCCCAGGGCUCAAUCCUGGAAUUGCCUUUAAGACUGCAUCGCUUGAACAUCGGAGAGGUAAGUGGAAUUCCGAGUGUAGAGGUGAAAUUCGUAGAUAUUCGGAAGAACACCAGUGGCGAAGGCGACUUACUGGACGAUUGUUGACGCUGAGGUGCGAAAGCGUGGGGAGCAAACAGG